UACGAAGGGGGCUAGCGUUGUUCGGAUUUACUGGGCGUAAAGCGCACGUAGGCGGAUUGUUAAGUCGGGGGUGAAAUCCUGGAGCUCAACUCCAGAACUGCCUUCGAUACUGGCAAUCUUGAGUCCGGAAGAGGUGAGUGGAACUCCUAGUGUAGAGGUGGAAUUCGUAGAUAUUAGGAAGAACACCAGUGGCGAAGGCGGCUCACUGGUCCGGUACUGACGCUGAGGUGCGAAAGCAUGGGGAGCGAACAGG
rnacentral:rRNA from 1 species